UACAGAGGUCCCGAGCGUUGUUCGGAUUCACUGGGCGUAAAGGGUGCGUAGGUGGUGGAGUAAGUUUGAUGUGAAAUCUCCGGGCUUAACCCGGAAACUGCAUUGAAUACUAUUUUGCUGGAGGUUUGGAGGGGGGACUGGAAUUCUCGGUGUAGCAGUGAAAUGCGUAGAUAUCGAGAGGAACACCAGUGGCGAAGGCGAGUCCCUGGACAACUCCUGACACUGAGGCACGAAAGCUAGGGGAGCAAACAGG
rnacentral:rRNA from 1 species